GUUGACCUCGGAUCGGGUAGGGAUACCCGCUGAACUUAAGC
rnacentral:rRNA from 1 species